GAUGAAGAACGCAGCGAAAUGCGAAAAGUAGUGUGAAUUGCAGAAUUCAGUGAAUCAUCGAAUCUUUGAACGCACAUUGCGCCCCUUGGUAUUCCAUGGGGCAUGCCUGUUCGAGCGUCAUUUUGUACCCUCAAGCACUGCUUGGUGUUGGGCGUUUGUCCUGCAGAGGACUCGCCUGAAAGCGAUUGGCGGCCAACGUAGUCGUGGCAGAGCGCAGCACAAUCUCGCGUCUCUCCCCUCUGCGUCGGCGUCCAUGAAGCCCACAAUCUCAACGUUUGACCUCGGAUCAGGUAGGGAUACCCGCUGAACUUAAGCAUACAAUAAGCGGAGGA
rnacentral:misc_RNA from 1 species